GCCUUUUGAUAUACUGCUGUUCAAUGUAUACACAUGUGUUAACACACAGAGAUACAGCUUAUCUGAUCAAGAUAAGGACCAAUGAAAAUACAGGCUUCUGAACCGUUUUACACCUGUACAGCAAAAAAUAAUCCCCAUCUUUCUGCUUGCUUUUUUUUUCUCUGAGAUCUUUGCAAAUGCUGUGAGCAAAUAAAUGGUCAAAUUUUCCCAUGAACUGUAUACUUAUAUAUUUUAAGAACAUAGAUAUUCCCUUCAGUAACUAUAUAUUGUACCAAAGAAAAUGGCUCAUGAAUACAAAAAUUUGAAUGUAAACAGGAAGUUCGUUGUUCAUGUUGUUGGAGGUUAAUGGAAUAAAGCUAACUUGAAACUCUAAAAUGCUUUUAGAGAGAUAUCAGAUGAAACAGUACGUGUGCAUAUAUGUAUGAAUUGAUGUAGUUGGAGAAAUCAGAACGCUUCAGUGCAUGACUAUGCUACAGGAUGAUACAAGAUCCCAGACAGAAAUUCGAUCAAGGAUCAAACAUAAAUUACAUAAUACUUCAACUAAAUUAAAUGAAUGGCUGGAAUGAAGUUCCUGACCCUUGUGAUGUUUUGGAAAAGCAAAGAGACAUUCUGAUGCCACCUUGUAUUGAGCCUGCAAUACUCCAAAAUGAUUUUGUUGUAUUCAUAAUUUUCUAUCAAAUAAUCUUUUAGUUUAAUUUUAAAAUUUAAGUUAAGUGAAUUUUUAUUAUUCUUAACCACAAGUGUAAAAGCCGCUGGCAGAUGUGUUAUUCCCCUUUGAAUUUUAUUCUUUUUGUUUUUUAUGAAACCCAGAUCUGUCUCAACAUUAGAUUAAAAUAAUUUUGUAAUGAUACUAUUUCUUCUUUUUUUGUUUUGUGUCAAUAUCAGCAAUGUUUUCCAAUGGUUUUCCAUCAAACCUUUCCAAACUUUUGCAAAGAAUUCUUCUAAAAAAUUCCUUCAACUUUAAUGCGAUGAAUUCCAAUGUUCAAAGAGUUCCAUGGAAUUCCAACUGCAUUUUCACAGGGCUGCUCCCAUGGGUAUGUGAGUUUAAAUUUAAAUUAAUUUUCAGACUUUUUUUUUCAUGCCGUUUUUCCAAACUUUUCCAUGGAACAUGUACAGACGGGUGUUUUUGUGACAUAAACACUUUCUAGUUUUAGUUUAUGUUUGGGAUCAUGCAAGAUAUCUGGACAGUUUUUUUUUAAUUCAAAAUCAAGAAUAUAUUUAAUUCGGCAAAACAAACAUUUUGGUUAUCUUACAGUAUUUGUUCAUUGCUGUGAAAUUGAUAAUUGCAUGCAUUUAAAUAACUUUUUACAUUAUUCUUUUGAUCAUAAAUAUAUGUAUAAAAAUGUAUAUAUUGAUUUGUCAAUAGUGUUUCAUUAAUGUGUUCUUACGAAAACUUAGAUAAAAGGCAAUUGAUGAUAUACCUUUUAUUUAUGUUUUGAUAAAAGGUCUCUCUGCCUUUUAUUCAUAUUUUGUUUCCUAUAUUUUAUUUGCAGUUUGUUUCUCAUAUAUAAUGAAUGUGAAUGCCUUUUGUUAGUAUUUUGUUACUACCUUUUAUUCAUGUUUUGUUUCUUUGAAACAAAAUAUUAAUAAAAGGUCU